CAUAGAGUCGAACGGCAGCACGGGAGCAAUCCUGGUGGCGAGUGGCGAACGGGUGAGAAAGAUAUCGGAACGUGCCCAGUCGUGGGGGAUAACGUAGCGAAAGCUACGCUAAUACCGCAUACGAUCUACGGAUGAAAGCGGGGGAUCGCAAGACCUCGCGCGAUUGGAGCGGCCGAUAUCAGAUUAGCUAGUUGGUGAGGUAAAGGCUCACCAAGGCGACGAUCUGUAGCUGGUCUGAGAGGACGACCAGCCACACUGGAACUGAGACACGGUCCAGACUCCUACGGGAGGCAGCAGUGGGGAAUUUUGGACAAUGGGCGCAAGCCUGAUCCAGCAAUGCCGCGUGCAGGAUGAAGGCCUUCGGGUUGUAAACUGCUUUUGUACGGACGAAACGGUCUUCUCUAAUACAGGAGGCUAAUGACGGUACCGAAGAAUAAGCACCGGCUAACUACGUGCCAGCAGCCGCGGUAAUACGUAGGGUGCGAGCGUUAAUCGGAAUUACUGGGCGUAAAGCGUGCGCAGGCGGUUAUGUAAGACAGAUGUGAAAUCCCCGGGCUCAACCUGGGACCUGCAUUUGUGACUGCAUAGCUAGAGUACGGUAGAGGGGGAUGGAAUUCCGCGUGUAGCAGUGAAAUGCGUAGAUAUGCGGAGGAACACCGAUGGCGAAGGCAAUCCCCUGGACCUGUACUGACGCUCAUGCACGAAAGCGUGGGGAGCAAACAGGAUUAGAUACCCU
rnacentral:rRNA from 1 species